AUGGCCGCCCCAGCAGUGUCCGGGCUCUCCCGGCAGGUGCGAUGCUUCAGUACCUCUGUUGUCAGACCAUUUGCCAAGCUUGUGCGGCCUCCUGUUCAGGUAUACAGUAUUGAAGGUCGCUAUGCCACAGCUCUUUAUUCUGCUGCAUCAAAACAGAGUAAGUUGGAGCAAGUAGAAAAGGAGUUGUUGAGAGUAGCACAAAUCCUGAAGGAACCCAAAGUGGCUGCUUCUGUUUUGAAUUCCUAUGUGAAGCGUUCUGUUAGAGUGAAAAGCCUAAAUGACAUCACAGCAAAAGAGAGGUUCUCUCCCGUCACCACCAACUGGAUCAAUGUGCUUGCUGAAAAUGGUCGCUUAAGCAAUACCCAAGGAGUCGUUUCUGCCUUUUUUACCAUGAUGAGUGUUCAUCGCGGAGAGGUACCUUGCACAGUGAGCACUGCAACUCCUUUAGAAGAAGCCAUACUCUCUGAAUUAAAAACUGUCCUCAAGAGCUUCAUAAGUCAAGGCCAAGUAUUGAAAUUGGAGGCUAAGACUGAUCCGUCAAUCACGGGUGGAAUGACUGUGCGCAUUGGAGAGAAAUAUGUUGGCACGUCUGUCAAGACCAAGAUUCAGAAGCUGGGCAGGGCUAUGCGGGAGGUUGUCUAAGUGUUGAUUUUCUGUCAUCAGUGAAAAUUCUUAAACUUGGAGCAACGAUAAAAAGCUUCCAGAACAGAUCAAAAAAAAAAAA